UUAAUUGAAACCAAAAUUUAGAGGUAUAUCACUGUUAAUGAUAAAACUGAGAUCUUCUCCAAUUAAG
rnacentral:tRNA from 1 species